rnacentral:tRNA from 1 species
UUUAAUAUGGCAGAUUAGUGUGAUGAAUUUAAGAUUCAUUUAUGUAGAUUAUAGUCUAUUAUUAAAA